UCCGGUCCGCUCCCUCUGGGAGUGUGUACUUAUGGAUAUUCGAGGCAUUU
rnacentral:rRNA from 1 species